AAUUUUGGACAAUGGGGGAAACCCUGAUCCAGCCAUCCCGCGUGUAUGAUGAAGGCCUUCGGGUUGUAAAGUACUUUUGGCAGAGAAGAAAAGGUAUCCCCUAAUACGGGAUACUGCUGACGGUAUCUGCAGAAUAAGCACCGGCUAACUACGUGCCAGCAGCCGCGGUAAUACGUAGGGUGCAAGCGUUAAUCGGAAUUACUGGGCGUAAAGCGUGUGAAGGCGUUUCGGAAGAAAAGAGUUGAAAUCCCAGGGCUCACCCUUGGACCUGCAUUUUUACCUGCGGAGCUAGGGAAUGUCGGAGGGGGUAGAAUUCCACGUGUAGCAGUGAAAUGCGUAGAUAUGUGGAGGAAUACCGAUGGCGAAGGCAGCCCCCUGGGAUAAUACUGACGCUCAGACACGAAAGCGUGGGGAGCAAACAGG
rnacentral:rRNA from 1 species